GUCAAGGUGGCCGAGUGGUCUAAGGCGCUGCACUCAAGUUGCAGUAUCGAAAGAUUCUUGGGUUCGAAUCCCAACCUUGACA
rnacentral:tRNA from 6 species